ACGUUGUAAAACGACGGCCAGUGAAUUAGAACUCGGUACGCGCGGAUCUUCCAGAGAUCCUACGGGAGGCAGCAGUGGGAAUUUUGGACAAUGGGCGCAAGCCUGAUCCAGCAAUGCCGCGUGAGUGAAGAAGGCCUUCGGGUUGUAAAGCUCUUUUGUCAGGGAAGAAACGGUCUACUCUAAUACAGUGGGCUAAUGACGGUACCUGAAGAAUAAGCACCGGCUAACUACGUGCCAGCAGCCGCGGUAAUACGUAGGGUGCAAGCGUUAAUCGGAAUUACUGGGCGUAAAGCGUGCGCAGGCGGUUUUGUAAGUCUGUCGUGAAAUCCCCGGGCUCAACCUGGGAAUGGCGAUGGAGACUGCAAGGCUAGAAUCUGGCAGAGGGGGGUAGAAUUCCACGUGUAGCAGUGAAAUGCGUAGAGAUGUGGAGGAACACCGAUGGCGAAGGCAGCCCCCUGGGUCAAGAUUGACGCUCAUGCACGAAAGCGUGGGGAGCAAACAGGAUUAGAUACCCUGGUAGUCCACGCCUUAAACGAUGUCUACUAGUUGUCGGGUCUUAAUUGACUUGGUAACGCAGCUAACGCGUGAAUACCUGGGGAGUACGGUCGCAAGAUUAAAACUCAAAGGAAUGACGGAA
rnacentral:rRNA from 1 species